AUGAACGCUGGCGGCGCGCCUAACACAUGCAAGUCGAACGGUUAAAGCACCUUUUAGGUGUGUAUAAAGUGGCGAACGGCUGAGUAACACGUGGGCAACCUGCCCUCCUCUUGGGGAUAGCCUCGGGAAACCGAGGAUAAUACCCGAUACUUCAAUGUGGCCGCAUGACGACAUUGAGAAAGCUUUUGCGGAGAAGGAUGGGCCCGCGGCCUGUUAGCUUGUUGGUGGGGUAGAGGCCUACCAAGGCAAUGAUGGGUAGCUGGGUUGAGAGACCGACCAGCCAGAUUGGGACUGAGACACGGCCCAGACUCCUACGGGAGGCAGCAGUGGGGAAUCUUGCACAAUGGGCGAAAGCCUGAUGCAGCGACGCCGCGUGCGGGACGAAGGCCUUCGGGUUGUAAACCGCUUUCAGCAGGGACGAGGCGAUAAGUGACGGUACCUGCAGAAGAAGCCCCGGCUAACUACGUG
rnacentral:rRNA from 1 species